GGCGCUUCUUCUCUUGCCUGCUGCCGUGCAAGACACGCCUUUCACCUUCCGCCGUGAUCAUGAGGCCUCCCUAGCUACGUGGAACUGUCAGGUUUCCUCACAGAGCAGUGGCACCGGAGAUAAGGCACAGCUGGUCACACCACCUGGGAUGUUCUGGGACUUCAGAAGUGGCCUCAUGCUUAGAGGUCCUCACUACCCAAGGCGUGGUCCUCAGACAUCACCCGGGAGCUGGUUAUAAAUGGAGAGUCUCAGGCCCCGCCCUGGAGGCCCUGGUUCAGAACCUGCGUUUCAGCAAGAGCUCGAGUGAUUCAGGCAGGUCACUGCACUGCUAGAUUGCUGGUGAGACAGCAGCCACUGCUCCCAGGCCCGACAACAGGGGCAGCACCAAAGCUGGUCAGUGUUUCCUCCUUACAGGUCUGAAGGUGCUGCAGAGGAGGGUGCUUCCCAGAGAUCACCCCUGUGACAGACAGAUCGAUUGAAGGACCCCUGAAUGGCUGAAUUGAGAAGAACAAGCAUAUUAGGAGGCCAUACAAUGGGAGCCUCUCAGGCAGACAGACAAAGCCGUGGAAACUGCAGACUUAUUUGUAUGUUCUGCCCCACUCCAGAAUUUUGGCUCCUGGAGAGGAGGGGCCCUGAACUGGCAUUUUCAGUGAAGCAUCCCAGUGCCUUGAAUCCAGUAAGCAGCCAGGUGUCUGUUGGCUUCAUGGUUUAACAACCUACCAUUUGAAGAAUCGCAGAGAUGAAUUAAAAAGAGCCCCGGAGAGGCUCCCCGAUCCAGUUGCACUUCCUGCUUAAGCAAAGUAAAGAAAAACAGGAAUGAAAACAUAACCCAAUGGGUUAGUUCCAUGCUGGCCAUUGAUGAGGUUGCAGCCACCAUCAGAAGAAGGCCAAACGGUUAGAAAGACACGGCGGUGAGGAAGAUGAGCCUCAUUAUCGACUGUCACCUGCAGCCCUGCACAGGUGCUCAGAAUCUAACACUUGAUGGCUGGUUGAGAUUCCCGGAGUCCUAAUUAGGAAUGAGGAGUCAGGCUGGCAGGACCCAGGGAAAGCAAAAAGAGAAGGCAGAGAAGCUCCAAGUCUGCCUGUCUUCGUGAUCCAGAACACGUAGUCCUGCUGCACAAGUAACUCACAAUCUUCCUGUGUCCAGCUGUCAUUAGACCCUUGGCUGAUAGAAAAAUGCAAGUUAGCACACUGCAGCCUCGGUGUCGUC
ensembl:lncRNA LINC02188 long intergenic non-protein coding RNA 2188